rnacentral:rRNA from 1 species
UACGAAGGGUCCAAGCGUUGUUCGGAAUCAUUGGGCGUAAAGGGUGCGUAGGCGGCGCGGUAAGUCGGGUGUGAAAUCUCGGGGCUUAACUCCGAAACUGCAUUCGAUACUGCCGUGCUUGAGGACUGGAGAGGAGACUGGAAUUUACGGUGUAGCGGUGAAAUGCGUAGAUAUCGUAAGGAAGACCAGUGGCGAAGGCGGGUCUCUGGACAGUUCCUGACGCUGAGGCACGAAGGCCAGGGGAGCAAACGGG